rnacentral:lncRNA from 1 species
GUGAGGGGGCGUAGAGGGCUAAUUGCAAGUACAUGAGCUCAGCUAGGGGCCACUUUCUCCCCUCCAUGCCCACAGCUGGCUGUGAGUCAUUGACCGGUCAUAGGCCACAGUGGGGCUGCUGGAGACAGGGCAAGCCCCGAGCAUGAACAGAAGACAGUUCAGUCCGGUCCCAGCCUUCGGGGCCUCAGGGGGAUGUGUGCUCUUCCCAGUCCCUGUCUAGACACUACUGCACCCCAGCUAGGAUGGCGUUCCAUCUCUGUCUGCUUGAGCAGAACACCCCUUUCUAUUUCAGCUCUGCCAGCCCUGGCCCUGCACUGCUCAUGUCACAACCUGUGGGCACCUCCUCUGUACCAAGGGUGGAAUAGAGGCAGAUUGGGGGCUCCGGAAAAAUUCGCUGGGGUUGUGUGUCCCUACCCGCAGACUACGACGUUUCCUAAAGCCAGCUGGGAGAGAGAGAUUUGUAGACACAGCGACUCAGAGACACACAGGGAAGAUGGACACAUGAUGAUGGAGGCAGAGAUUGGAGUGAUGCAGCUGUAAGCCAAGGAACACUGGGGAUUGCCGGCAAAUGCCAGGAGCUAGGAGAGAGGCAUGCAACAGACUCCCUCAGAGCCUCCAGAAGGAACCAAACCUGCUGACACGUUGAUUUUGGACUCUGGCCUCCUUAACUACGAGAGAGUAAAUUUCUGUUGGUUUAAGCCACCAAGUCUGUGGUAAUUUGUUAUGGCAGCUCUGGGAAACGAAUACAGUCACACACACACAUGCACACACACACACACGCACACACACAUGCUGCUGGCUCUAGGCUCAGUGACGAGGUUGGUGGAGUUCCUCUUGGGAGCUGCUCUGCCUCUGUCCUCCUUCCCCUGUGGCUGGUCCCAUGAACCCAAAAAAGCUCAUGGCCCAGGGCAGGAGCAUGAUAAUUUUCAAUCCCUCCUUCCCUCCCUGGAGUUGUUAACUAAGCAUCCCCCUCAAAAUCUGCUCUCAGGCAUGGGUUGCCAUGUUUACGUGCACUGAAAGACAUGUCCAAGAAUGCUAUGGCUGCUUUACUGCUAUUAAUUAAAAACUGGAAACAACCCAAAUGUCUAUCAACAGCAGAAUAGAUAAUAAAUUGUGGCAUAGCCACGCAAUGGAAGGCUGCUCAGCCACUAAAAAGGAAGACCUAAUGCUGCAGGAAUAGCAUGGAUGACCCUCACAGACCCCACACUGACCACACUGGGCCCCAUACAAAGAGUGUAUGCUCUAGGAGUCCGUGUGCGUGAGGUUCAAGAACAAAGCCAACCCGUGGUGAUAAAAGUCAGAAUAGUGGUUACUUCUGAGAGAUGGGGUUGACUGGGAGGGGCUUGAGGGAGCCUCCUGGGGUGCGGGAAUACUCUGUGCGUGAUCUGGGUGGUGGUUACAUGGGCAUAUACAUAUGCACAAGUUUGCCAGAUCUCUUAAGAUUUGUUCAAUUUGAUGCACAAACCUUACAAUUCAAUAAAAAGUAAGUUUUAAAAACUGGGUUCCCGGGAAGUCAAUGACCAGAAGCCACCGGAUAGCAUUGUCUGGUGGGGGCAGCUGCAGGGUUUGCCUUGUCCCCGUGCUGCACUGGUGUCCUCAUGCCUGGGACUGCUUGUGUGACAGACUUUUCAGGAUAUUUGUUGACUAUAAACAUGAAGCCUGGGGCUACCUGGGGAGACCAUGGGGUGUCAAUGCAGCCAGACCUUCCAGAGAUGACCUGUCUCUAGGUGGAAAUAGGGAGUGCACACGAUCCUACUGGAAUCUACUUCCCCAAUUAAAAACCAAAUGUGAUGAUUUCUUUCACAAAAAGCUCACAUUGAAGAAGAACAGCCACCUUUUAUUCAGGUUUUGCUAUCUGCCAGGCAUAGACCAAGUACCUUUGAGGGACACGGCCAUGUUACCAUUUCACAGACAAGAAAACUGAUGCUCCAAGAUGUUGAGUAAAUCCCCAAGGUCACACAGGAAGCUCAACAGAGGGGAUUUGAUGUGAUAGUCUGGGGCUCCCUGAGGGCAGGGCUGUGUCCCCCUCCUACUGGGCUCCGGGAUUUCUAGGCUGGAGGGGUUUAGGGGAGGACUUAUCUGAACCCGACUUUCGUGGCACAUGCACUGCUUUCCUGAAGCGGCUGGGAAGGGGCUGCUGACCUGGCUGCUCUGCUCCUUCUCACCCUGGCUCUCACCACUACGCCUAACUCAGGGCUCUGCCCACAGGUGUGCCAUAGUUUGGGACCAUGGACCUAGGGGUGAGGGAGGGAGGUGGGGGAGGGUGAGCAUCAGAAGGACCUGUCCCUUUGGGGGCUGUGCUGGGAUCAGUGCUGGAGGUGCCCACCCCUUCCCUCCCUUCCUGGCUGGCCCAGUGGGAGUCAGGACUACCCAGCCAAGCCAUCCAGAGGCACACUGAGCGGAGAGCUGGACCCUGCCCCUUGCCAGGAGGACCAGCUGGGAGAGGGACUCCAUUUAAGGAUGUAUGGAGGACAGAGCACAGGGCAGCCCCCAGCAUGCCCAGGCCCAGGUGCUCCUCACCCUGCCCACGCCUCACCAGCAGGAGCUGGGUCAUAUGAUGGGGGCGAGGUGGUAGGUGUAAUAGGAGCUGACAUCCUCUUCGGCCUGCCCUGUGACUAUAUUAAGUUCUGUGCUUGGUCUCCCCUCUCCCCCGCCCCCAGGACUUUCCUUCCUUCCCCAGGGAUCCUGCACUGCAGAUUAAGCAGUCAUUCCUCUCCCCUCCCCACUGUCCUAGGAAGGGGGCUGGAGCCUAAUGAGGUCAGAGCCAGGGGGUAGAGGAGCAGAGGCAGUAAAUUGAGGCCUUGGGUGCUAAUGAGCUGCAGAGGGAAGUGCCUGGGCGGGAGGCCGUGCUCCCGAGGCCUUAGCACCCUCACACUUAAUGUCCCCCACCCACCGCCCACACACAUGGCCCAGGGCUCACACAGAACACCCUUGCAGGCAGCUGAGACAUGGUUUACAUUCCUCCAGGCCAACCAUGGGUACCCCUGCACGUGUGCACCCCCCAGAGCCCGUUAUUACCCUCAUAACACUGUUCAGGAGCUCACGUCUGCACACCCAACUGUACAUGCAGGCACUCUCGCUUGCAGCCCUUUGCACUCAUGUGCAGACCGCCCACCCCUGUUACCAUUUCUCUUAAGCCCUCAGAGUCUGUGGCUGAAGCAGGGGGAGCCCUAUGGCUGCAGUGGGGUGGGGAAUGUAGUCUGGGGGCUACAGGCCAUUUGUAACCCCCGCCUAGAUCUAAGGGCUCAGUCUCCAUCUCCCCACCCCCUUGCAGUGAGACUCCCCACCCCAGGUUGAGGGCAGCGGGUAGGGCAGGGUUUAUUAAUAAACUUGCUCCUGACUGGAAAGGGCUGUGCAGAAGCCCCAACUUCAAGCCAAUCAUAGCAGAACUUUCCAGGAAUGUCACCCCAAAGCAAGCCUUUCUCUGACUCCAGGAUUAUUUCCCACCCCUGACUUCAUCCCCUUGGUGUGUGGGGCUCCUGCCAGGUUCCACUGACUCUGCCCAGCAGGCCUGCUGUCACCUGGCAGCUGACAUCUGCCUUGGCCGCCACCCAGAGAAAGUCACAGGCGGUCGGUAGUGGGGCGGGGAUUAGAACUGCUUCCUCCCUCAUCGAGUUCUACUCCUUGCUCCCCCAAACUGAGGACGGCUGAGCCCACUGUGUUGGGAAUGCAGAAUGGCCUCUGCCUCACCACCAACAGCAUUCUCACGCUGCCCUUGUACCCUGCUCCAAGUGGGGAGGAGCCCUGAAGGCAGAGAGCCCGGGCCAGCUUACUGGCCUUGUGACUUUGGGCAAGCAGAAUAUGACUUGUCUGUGGCUCAUUGUCAUCAUUUAUAAAGUGAGGAUGAAAUUGCCCACCCGAAGGUAGCUGUGAGAAUUAGGAAUGUGUGAUGGCUGGUGUGAACUGCAAAGGACUGUGUACAGGAGUGUAAAGUAAAUAAUAUUUAUGUUCUUGCCUCUAUCACUAAUUGCGUUCCCAUCUUUAUCACCGCCACCACCAUCACUAACACCUCCACUGUCACACCACCAUCUCCUUCCCACCAUCGUUUCAUCUCAUCUUCAGCACCAUCGCACUGCUAUCCUCAUCAGUACUUCCAUCACAACCACCACGUUAUCACCUAUCCAUCCUUCCAAGAACACUGAUUCAACUCCUACCAUGUUCAGGGUCACAUGAGUGGCCCUUUGGAGGUGAGUCCUGCCCUGUGUUCCCCACAUUAGGAACAGCCUAUAUCUCUCCCUUCCCUUAAGCCCUGGCACACAACCCCUCUCUGCCAGGAACCCUUCCUUGAUCUACCCGGCAGUACUCCGAUUACUUCUGUACACUGUGGUCAGCUGUGCCUGUCCCCUCCCUGGCUGGGGAGUGUGUGUGUGUGUGAGAGAGCACUCACACUCUCACUAUUUAAACCAGUUGAUAAAGUCAGCCUCCACCCAGAUCUCCUACACACGGCCUAGUGGCUCUGGGUCUCAAUCCUGGCUCUUAUGUUUUCUAGCUGUGUGACCUGGGACAACCCACUUUCCUUCCUUGUGCCUCAGUCUUCCCAACUGUGAAUUGGAUUAAUAAUAGAUUUAAUAAUCGUCUCAUAUUGCUGUAGUGUGGAUUCCCUGAGAUGUUGUAUAUAGAGUACUUAGAACAGAAGUGGGCACACAGUAAGUGCUUGAUAAACAUUUGCUAUUGUUUAUUAUUAUUGUUGGUCCUUCCUACUGCCAAUGCUUCACACAGGGCUUUGCACUGUCAAUGAGAAUGAAUAUAUUAAUGGAUAUGCUCUGACUUUCCAAUGUAAACAUCUUGGAAGGGAAGGAAGAUUUGAGCCUUUCCGAGAAAUGUGUGGACCCCUGCCUGCUCCCAGAAGGUUCCUGAACUCUGGGCAGUGGGUUAGGAAGGACCAUGCAGGGAGGUUGGAGCCAGGCCCGGCAGAGUUGAGCUUGAAUCCUAACUUCACCAGCUGAGCCACUGUGGGCAAGUCAUCACUUAACCACCUCAAGCCUCGGUUUCCUCAUCUGUCAAGUGGAUCACUGUGCAGGUCCCCUGUGAGACUAUCAUCUCUGUCAGUCUUGAAUGCAGGCGCCACAGGUAGCUGUGGGUGGGAGUCAGGGCCAGUGUACCCUUUGGGCCUCAACCUUCUCAUGCAGAUAGUAGAUGUCCCUGCAGAGCCUGCUUCCUAGAGUAGGUGGAGAAGAUGCUGAGUGGUGGAAACUGCUCAGAAAAGUAAAACACUCUGGAAAAGUUCCAGGGACAGCAUUAAUAAUGAUUGACCCAGCUUGGCCUGACCAGAGAAAAUGCACUGAGGUCUGAGCUGGGUUCCUGGAGCAGGGCAGGGGCCACAAGGGAGGAGGGCCAAGGGGCCCCUAACCACAAGCUCAGGAAGGCCACUCUGUGCUCAGACUCUCACGUGCACCAUGACAUGGUCCAUGGGGAGGGCUGAGGCAGCUGGGACAUGGCGGAGGGGUUGACCCAGGAGACCUACAGGCUUUCCAGGAGUCCCCAGUCCAUUGACGUCCACACAGCUGCAGCCCCCCGAGGAUUGCCUCCACCCUCCUCCGACAGUGGCGCCCUGGCCAUGAACCCCCAGCGAAUAAACAGGGGCAGCAGCGGCUGACUGGUGUGUACUCUCAGCCCCCACAAUGUAAACUCCCGGAAUGUAUUUAUGUUGUCUGGGCCUGGCCCCAGUCCCCUGCCCAGCUUGGAGGGGUCACGCCAUGCCAGACGUCACACAUACAGGGC